UACAGAGACUGCAAGCGUUAUUCGGAUUCACUGGGCGUAAAGGGUGCGCAGGCGGCCAAGUGUGUUAGGCGUGAAAGCCCGGGGCUCAACCCCGGAAUUGCACCUAAAACUACAUGGCUAGAGCAUUGGAGAGGGAAGCGGAAUUCACGGUGUAGCAGUGAAAUGCGUAGAUAUCGUGAGGAACACCAGAGGCGAAGGCGGCUUCCUGGACAAUUGCUGACGCUCAGGCACGAAAGCGUGGGGAGCAAACAGG
rnacentral:rRNA from 1 species